CCAGUCCACACUCCAUCCAUCACUCUUCCCGCCACAAUCAUACAUAACAAGGGCGCAAACAGUGCCAUUUUCUCUCUCCACUUCUCAAGUGGUCUCAUCACUCUCUGUAUCUCCUCUAUUCAAAUUUUAGGGUUCGCAAACGCAAUCGUACGAACUGAAAACGACAGUCAUGGGCGACGCUACGGGUUUCUCCGAUUUUCACCAUAUACGACCUCGGUCCGGAGCGGGUACCAUUACGAGGAUCCGACUAGAGAAUUUCAUGUGCCAUAGUAAUCUUCAAAUUGAGCUGUGCCCCUGGGUUAAUUUUGUCACUGGUCAAAACGGGAGUGGUAAAAGUGCAAUUCUGACUGCUUUGUGUAUUGCUUUUGGAAGUCGAGCUAAGGGGACUCAGAGAGCUGCUACAUUAAAGGAUUUUAUCAAAACUGGCUGCAGUUAUACUGUUGUUGAAGUGGAAUUGAAGAACCAAGGAGAUGAAGCUUUUAAGCAUGAAAUCUACGGCGAUGCAAUAAUUAUAGAACGUAGAAUAAACCAAUCUACAAGCUCUACAAUUUUGAAGGAUUUUCAAGGAAAAAAGGUUGCUAGUCGAAAAGAUGAACUGCGGGAGCUCAUUGAACAUUUUAAUAUUGAUGUUGAGAAUCCUUGUGUAAUAAUGAGUCAAGACAAAAGCAGAGAGUUCUUGCAUUCUGGAAAUGACAAGGAUAAGUUUAAGUUUUUCUUUAAGGCAACUCUUCUUCAACAAGUUAAUGAUCUUCUGCAAAGUAUUUACGAGCAAUUGCAAUCUACAAAUGCUCUUGUUGAUGAAUUGGAGGCUACAAUAAAACCCAUAGAGAAGGAACUCGUGGAGUUGCAAAUACAAAUUAAAAACAUGGAGCAUAUAGAAGAAAUUUCACUGAAGGUACAACAAUUAAAAAAGAUGCUCGCAUGGUCAUGGGUUUACAGUGUAGACAGGCAAAUAGAAGAUCAAACUGCAUUGAUUGAAGACCUUAAGACGCGGAUACCCAUUUGCCAAAAAAAAAUCGAUGCCAAGAUAAAAUCUAUAGAGUCACUAAGGAAUGAAUUCACAGAGUCGAAAGCUAAAACCGUGGUCAUGAUGCAGAAAACAUCGGAAGUGAGGCGAAAGCAGGACGAAUCACAACAUUUGAUUUCUUUGGCAACAAAACGGGUGCUUGAGUUGAAAGAUGAGCAUCGCCGGGCAAUUAACAGCAUUCAGAAAAUGCAGAAGGAUAUAAGGUCACUUGAGCAAGAAGUCCAGGAUAUCCAGGACCAACAAUUUAAAACUACACAGGCAGAAGAAUCUGAAAUAGAGGCAAAGCUAAAGGAACUCGAAUGCAUGAUUGAUGCUGCUGAAGCCAAAUUAUCAAGGUCAAAGAAAGAUGAAAGUCAACUAUCAGAAAGUGUCUUCAUGCAAGUAGCAAAAAUGAAUGAGAUCACUGAAGAGAUUGCAAGUUUUGAGAAAAAGGAACAUGAGAUGCGCACAACUAUUCGCCAGCUUCGGCAACACAAAACCAAUAAGGUUACUGCAUUUGGGGGAGAAAGGGUGAUUCAACUCUUACAAAUCAUUGAGAGACAUCACCAGAGGUUUAACAAGCCACCUAUAGGUCCAAUUGGCUCCCACCUUACAUUGGACAAUGGCGAUAGAUGGGCUCCUGCUGUUGAAAAUGCAAUUGGAAGGUUGCUUAAUGCUUUUAUUGUAACCAAUCAUAGCGAUUCUCUUCUCUUGAGAAGCUAUGCGAGAGAAGCAAGAUAUCAUAACCUGCAAAUUAUCAUAUAUGAUUUCUCAAGAUCUAGGUUAGUCAUCCCAUCUAACAUGCUUCCCCAGACAAAUAACCCAACUACACUUUCUGUUUUGCAUUCCAAAAAUGAUACUGUACUAAACGUUUUGGUGGAUAUGGGUGGUGCUGAGAGGCAAGUGCUUGUAGAAAAUUAUGAUGCAGGAUCAGCUGUUGCAUUUGACAAAAAUAUCCUCAAUGUGAAGGAGGUUUACACCUUAGAUGGAUAUAAAAUGUUUUCUCGUGGAUCGGUCCAAACAGUACUUCCUCCAAACAGAAGGAAUAGAACUGGCCGACUUUGUAGCUCUUAUGAUGAUCAAAUUAAGGAUCUUGAACAAGAUGCUUCAAAUGUCAGAAUGAAAGCUGAAGAAUGCAGGAAAAGGAAAAGAGAUAUUGAGGCAAAUCAUCAGCAUCUUCAACAUAAUUUAAAGAAAGAAAAGGAGACAUGCUCAAGUACUGAGCGGGAGCUGGCAUCUUACAAAUUAGCACGACGAGAUUUAAAGAAAUCUUAUGCUGCUGAAAGCAGUUUGGCACCUUUAUCAAAUGUUGAUGAACUUCUCGAAGAAAUUUCAAAACUCCAAGGGCAGAUACAAGAAAUGGAAACUUCUCUAGGAAUGCUUCAAAAUAAGAAGGAUGAAGCUGAAGCUAAGGCUAGCGACCUUAAAUUAUCAUUUGAGAAUUUAUGUGAGUCCGGAAAAGAAGAAAUCGACGCCUUUAAAGAAGCAGAGGCCAAGCUUACGAAGAUUGAAAAUGAUUUACAAUCUGCUGAAAGGGAUAAGGCCCAUUAUGAAGAAGUCAUGGCAACCAAGGUCGUAGCUGUUAUCAAAGCUGCAGAGGCACACUAUCAAGAGCUUGAAGGAAAUCGUAAGGAAAAUUGCAGAAAGGCUUCUAUUAUCUGUCCUGAGUGUGAUAUUGAAGCUUUAGGUGGUUGCGAUGGACGUACCCCAGAACAACUCAGUGCCCAAUUAAAUAGAUUGAAUCAGAGACUUCAGCAGGAGAGCCAGCAGUACUCUGAUUCUAUUGAUGACCUGAGGAUGUUGUAUGAGAAAAAACAGCGAAAAAUUCUGAAGAAGCAACAGACAUACAGAGGAUUUCGAGAAAAGUUGGAGGCCUGCAAGAAAGCCUUAGAUUUGCGAUGGAAUAAGUUUCAGAGGAAUAGUGAUCUUUUGAAGCGCCAGCUAACUUGGAAUUUCAAUGGUCAUUUAGGAAAGAAAGGGAUUAGUGGGAACAUCCAAGUUAGCUAUAAAGACAAAACCCUUAAAGUAGAGGUAAAAAUGCCUCAAGAUGCAUCAAGCACCACAGUGCGUGAUACUAGAGGACUUUCAGGUGGUGAACGCUCUUUUUCAACAUUGUGCUUUGCAUUAGCUCUUCAUGAGAUGACAGAUGCCCCUUUUCGAGCAAUGGAUGAGUUUGACGUAUUUAUGGAUGCAGUUAGCCGUAAAAUCAGCCUAGACACUGUAGUGGACUUUGCUGUGGCACAAGGAUCCCAAUGGAUAUUUAUUACCCCUCAUGAUAUCAGUAUGGUAAAACAAGGGGAAAGAAUAAAGAAGCAGCAAAUGGCGGCUCCUCGUUCUUGAUUAUACUAUUGGUUUUGCUUCCGACUGAAUGAUGUGCUAUCAUUUCGCCGAGGACAAAGAGGUUCGACAAGGAAUUCAUCUGGACAGUAGAUUCCUAAGACAAUUAAGUCUGUGGAAUGUAUCCCAACAACUAUUAAAUGGGGGGCGUUUGGGAAAUUUAUUUGGCUCCACGCCUUACAUAAAUAUCCAUGACAUGGUAACCACACCUUUAUAAAUUUAUGCUUAUUUAUUUUAGGCUUAAUCACCAAAAAAAAAUCUCACAUUUUAGCCCCUUUUCAAAUGCACCCUGACGUUGCAAUUUUGUCAGUUGCACCUUUAUUCACAUCUUUGGUUUUCAAUUCCACUUUCAAGUACUAAAUUGUUCUCUUUUUCAUUUGAAAAAAGUUAAAAUAACUCAUCCAUUUUUAAUUUUUUAUGUGGAAAAGAGUUCAAACGAGUACUUUAUAAGGGUUUUUAUGAAUUUUUUCCGAGUGAAAAAAGUUCAAUUUGAUUUUGAAGGUGGAAUUAAAAUCCAAAGGUGCGAAUUAGGGUGCAACUGAUAAAAUUGCAACGCCAGGGUGCAACUGAAAAGGGGUUAAAAGGUGAGGGUUUUUUUGAUAAUUAAUCCUUUAUUUUAUUAGAGGUGGCCAUGUAUGAGCAAAUCAAAUACAUCUUCAGUUAAGAGAAUACGGAAAUACAAUUGACUUUUAAUUGCAAACAAUAAUCCUUACAAAUAAAUUACGAGCGUUUAUGAGUGUACUAUUCAA